GUGAAUCAUCGAAUCUUUGAACGCACAUUGCACCCUCUGGUAUUCCGGAGGGUAUGCCUGUUUGAGUGUCAUUAAUAUCUCAACGCAGACAAGUUUAUGACUUGCUCUGAUGCUUGGAUGCUGAGGGCUGCUGGCAAGACUCUCGUCAGCUCCUUUUAAAUUUAUUAGCAGAAACCUAUGCAAAAAAGCUGGCUUCAGUUUGAUAAGCACUUAUCUGUAUUGCUGUUGCUAGUGAAAUGCUCUUGUUUCAGCUUCCAAUUGUCCAAAUAUUAUUAUGGACUGCCUCUCGAGGCAAUUCAA
rnacentral:misc_RNA from 1 species